AUGAACCAGAACAGCCACCGUAGCCACGCCCACCAGAUUAGAGGCGACCAAUCAGAGCACAGCGCCAGUAUAAACACAGGACAAACGUGAACUGCUGGAAAAUAAGAAACAGAAACCAAAGAUGUAGCACUGCGCGAGAGGGUCAUUUAAUGUGUUUCACAUUUGAUUCCGCUAACGUCUGCUGCGAAGGUUUAUUAUGAUGUAACGCCAUUUGAUGUUUUAUUUCUUUAACAGUGAAUGUUUAUGUGUGCAUCUCGCAGCGUGUCGCCAUCUUCGAGUGACGUCACAACACACGCGCCUCUCUGGGACUCUGAAGUUAUUAAACUUCCGCACAGAAGUUUUGUCUUCAAAUGGCGUUUUGUUGGACAUUUCUUAGUUGUACAUUAUGACUUUAUGGAACGCAAAAAGUAAAUAUUGCACACGUGUAGUCUGCAUGUGCUGUUCCUUCACAAAUCGAUCAGAUUUAUGUCCUCCAAGUGAAAACAUCUCACAGACUUUACACGAGAGUCUCGAAUCAUGUUAUAGUUUUGGGAUGAGCUCUUUUGACUAGAAUACUACCACCUAACAACCAGAACAUCAUAUUAAUCUUCACAGUCCCUCACAAAUCUGAGUUCAGAGUUUGACACCAUCAGGAUCCUUUAAGACGUAGAAGAUCCCGACUGCAGCUAAAAUCAACAGAGAUCCAGCAGCAGCAGAGAUCAAGACGAUCAGAGAGACUGAGGCUGGAAAAUGAGAAGAAAACUGUGAGCCUGGUGCUAUAAUGCUGAAGACAGCUAUUAGUGUGUGUUUGGUGAAACAGAUACAGUGAAGUCAGUGUCAGUGAUGGAGGGAGAUUCUGUCACUCUAAACUCUGGUUUUACAGAAAUACAGACAGAUGAUAAGAUAGUGUGGUAUUUUGGGAAUGAGAGAUCUGUCAUAGCUAAAAUCAAUCCAAUCCUUGUUUCUGAUGGGAGAUUCAGAGACAGACUGCAGCUGGAUCAUCAGACUGGAUCUCUGACCAUCACAGACACCAGAACCACAGACUCUGGACUUUAUGAAGUGACCAUCAGUAACAGUAGCACAGAUACUACAUAUGGAUUCACUGUUACUGUCUUUGCUCGUCUGCCUGUUCCUGUCAUAAGCAGUAACUCUUCAAAACUGUUCAUCACCAUCAAUGUCCAAAUGUUCACUGUUGUGUUCAGUGGUGAAUGUGGGUCAUGUGACUCUCUCCUGGUACAAAGGAAACAGUUUAUUGUCCAGAAUCAGUGUGUCUGAUCUCAGCAUCAGUCUCUCUCUACCUCUGGAGGUGGAGUGUCUGGAUGAUUUCUACAGCUGUGUUGUGGCUUAUUCAUUCACCAUCCAGACCACACAUCUCAACAACACUCAACACUGUCAACCAUGUUCAAUGAAAGAUUGUACCUUCUGCUGUCAUUUUCCUGAAGUUGUGACCCGAUUGGUCAUCUCUGUUCUGGUGGGUGUGGCUGCUGCAUGUAUUGUGGUGUAUGACAUCACAUCCAAUUUGAAAAAAGGAUAGAUCAUAACAGACGUCAUCAUCAUCAUCAUCAUCAUCAUCAUCAUCAUCAUAUGCUCACAGAUGAAUCAUGUAUUCUGACUUUGUUAGUGUAUCCACUCUUUGCCAGAACAUUUUUACUUUCACACAACUGGCUCAGUUUUCAGUUAUAUUUUUAGAUUAACAUUCAGUUCUUUUAAUGAUUUAUCAUUUUCCUUUUAAUGUUUUUUAAAAAUUAAUUUCAUUUAUUUUUAAUAAGAAAUAGUCAGGUUAUUUUAAGUGUAUAAGCUUAUUUUACAUGGGUUUUCUUUCAUCGCUUGAUUAUAGGCUUGUUAUCAUUAUCGUAUUAUCCUUAUUAUUUGCAUCAUUAUUAGUGUAUUAUUAUAAUUUAUGCAGCUGCUGACAUAUGAAAUAUGCCAGCAAAUAUAAUAUAUAUAUAUAUAUAUAUAUAAUUUUUUUUAGCUCAUUAGCAUCACCUGCUGGUUCAGUUUUAAGAGGGUGCAUUAAUCUGUGUAUGUGCAUAGCAAACUCCUGAACUAAAUUUAUUAUCAAGGUAGUAUCGUUUUUGAAAUAAUAUAUCUUUUCAGUAUGUGCAGUCUUGUUAAGUAGUGAGGUACUGUUUCUGUACCCAGCUCCGCUUUCACCCAGCUGCCUAUAUUGUAAUGAUUUUCACAAAAAUUAAAAAUAAUUUUGAAAAGAAGAGCAAAAAUCCUCAACCAGUGUUUUUUGUAUUCUCUGGGUGAAGAAGGGAAUCUGAUUUGGGACUCGUCAUGUACACUGUGUCAGAAGGGAGGUUCAUGGAUAUUUUUAGUUUAAAUAAAUUUGAACCAGUAUUUAUGAUCUUAUAUAAAUAUAAAAGCAAUUUUAAAAUUCAUUAAGAAAAUUAGACAUUGAAAUAGAAUAUAGAUCAGAUUAUGGAUACCUAGACGGGUAUCCCUUCACACUUAAGCAAUCUGCCAAUAAAUCCACAGAAGAAGAAAAAAUAUGAUGACCGCUUCGUUCCAGUCUAUGUUUCCAGUUCAUUUUUUAUGCUCUCUAAGGGACAUUAUGGGCACUCCAGCUGGUAAUUAUGUGACUGUGUUGGAGAUGGUGGAAUGAUAAAUACUGUGAGAUGGGUGCGUGGUCACUCAAGGCUGCUUUUUAUUGUCCUGGUAAACGCAACUGGGACAAACAGGACCGUAGAUUGGUUAGAGUGCAGCUCAAUGAUGACAAAAGACUUAAAUGAAUAGUAAAUAGUAAAAUAAACAAGAGGUUCAGAGUUUACAAGAAGUUUAAUACACACACUCUUACCAUCACAAAUAACACAUAUUUGACUCUACUAACAGGACUAGAAGCUGACAAAAAAAAAAAAAGAUCUAUUGUGUAAGUUCAGCUUUGGGCUAGAAAACAAUCCAAACUCAGUUAAUAAGACAAAGCGAUCAUCAUUGCAGCUUACCAACAGGGAGGCUUCAUGAGACUACUGGCAAUUACAUACCCAGCUAACAAUUUUUGGUUACUGGAACAUUUUUGGUUCACAGAACGUUAUUUUUUAUGGUUUGUUUUUGAUUGGCCAGGAAAGUUUUCUUAGCAUUCCCAAAAUGUUAGUUUUUGGCUCCCAGAACAUUAUUAUAACAUUCCCCUACCAUUAAUUUUAAGUUCAAAGAAUGUUAUUAUAACGUUCUCCUAACCUCUCUUCUCCAAAAUGAUCACCUCUGUGGAUGUCAGUAGUCAUCCAGCACACUCAUAACCCUAUAUGCGGCAUGGAAAUUUUCUCUAUGGAUGCCC